rnacentral:rRNA from 1 species
GACGAACCGUGCGAACGUUGUUCGGAUUCACUGGGCUUAAAGGGCGCGUAGGCGGGUUUUCAAGUCUGGGGUGAAAUCCUCUCGCUCAACGAGAGAACUGCCCUGGAUACUGGAGACCUCGAGGGAGGUAGGGGCAUGUGGAACUUCCGGUGGAGCGGUGAAAUGCGUAGAUAUCGGAAGGAACGCCGGUGGCGAAAGCGACGUGCUGGACCUCUUCUGACGCUGAGGCGCGAAAGCCAGGGGAGCAAACGGG